UACGUAGGGUGCAAGCGUUAAUCGGAAUUACUGGGCGUAAAAGCGCACGUAGGCGGAUAUUUAAGUCAGGGGUGAAAUCCCGGGGCUCAACCCCGGAACUGCCUUUGAUACUGGGUAUCUCGAGUCCGAGAGAGGUGAGUGGAAUUCCGAGUGUAGAGGUGAAAUUCGUAGAUAUUCGGAGGAACACCAGUGGCGAAGGCGGCUCACUGGCUCGGUACUGACGCUGAGGUGCGAAAGCGUGGGGAGCAAACAGG
rnacentral:rRNA from 1 species